rnacentral:misc_RNA from 1 species
CAUGAAUAUGUGAAAGUUAAACCAGAACAACUCUUUAUGUUGAUGAUUGGUGUCACUCGUUAAGAUUAAUCUUUCAUAUAAGAGUUCCAUAUUUCAUGGUCACACUUGUAAAGGUAAUAUUUCAAUAGCCAGUACUAAGUAUAUAGUAGUAUAGUAGGCUUCGUUACAGAACACACAUACACUUUUAGACCCCUCCAAACUAUUUCGUCAUCAAUAUGUAAGUCAUAAAAAAAAUUAUUUUGACCGAUUUAAAAACACAUGUAAGGUCAAUCAGAACUAUAAUGUAAGUCACGUACAGUCAGUACAUUUUUGUAUUUACAAUGUAUUAAAAAUUAUUUUCAUAUAUUUUUGAUAUAAUUAAUUCGUUCGAAUGGGUCAACGGUUAAUUUUACAAAUGGUUUUGGAUGGUGGUCAUGACUUAAUUUACAAUACUUAAAACUAUAAAUAUUUGAAUAUAUAUACUAGUACAACUUACAAAAUAAUUAUAUGUAGGUAGGUACUAACGGCCACUUGACAAAAAAAUAUUUAAAAUAAUAAUAUUAGCAAAUAAAAC